rnacentral:rRNA from 1 species
AACAAACGCUGGCGGCGUGCCUAAUACAUGCAAGUCGAACGGGGAAAGCUUUCGGGUGAGUACUAGUGGCGCACGGGUGAGGAACGCGUGGAUAAUCUGCCUUAGAGUGGGGGAUAACUAGUCGAAAGAUUAGCUAAUACCGCAUAAGACCACAGGAGCUGCGGCUCAAGGGGUCAAAGGUUUUUCGCUCUAAGAUGAGUCCGCGUAAGAUUAGCUAGUUGGUGAGGUAACGGCUCACCAAGGCGACGAUCUUUAACUGGUCUGAGAGGAUGAUCAGUCACACUGGAACUGAGACACGGUCCAGACUCCUACGGGAGGCAGCAGUAGGGAAUAUUGCACAAUGGAGGAAACUCUGAUGCAGCGACGCCGCGUGAGUGAUGAAGGCCUUCGGGUCGUAAAGCUCUGUCGCAGGGGAAUAACACAAUGAAGGUACCCUGUAAGAAAGGAUCGGCUAACUUCGUGCCAGCCGCCGCAGUAAAAC